rnacentral:rRNA from 1 species
CAGCCGCCGCGGUAAUACGUAGGGUGCGAGCGUUAAUCGGAAUUACUGGGCGUAAAGCGUGCGCAGGCGGUUGUGUAAGACAGGUGUGAAAUCCCCGGGCUUAACCUGGGAACUGCGCUUGUGACUGCACAGCUAGAGUAUGGCAGAGGGGGGUGGAAUUCCACGUGUAGCAGUGAAAUGCGUAGAGAUGUGGAGGAACACAGAUGGCGAAGGCAGCCCCCUGGGCCAAUACUGACGCUCAUGCACGAAAGCGUGGGGAGCGAACAGGAUUAGAUACCCCUGUAGUCCCUGUCUCUUAUAU